GAACACCGGGCGGGACACGCGUCAUAACAGUGCAGUUCUGGUGCAGCACAUGUGCAGGUGUUGUGCAAAAUGACACGCGCAAUGUGUCUACACAGACACCAGUGCGGCGCGGAUUGCGUUUACACAUACGUCGAACGUGUUUCGCCCCUCUUCGAAUGACUCGGCCCGCACUUUGAUUGCAACAGCCGGGCCGGCCGCACCCACAUUGCUCCGCUCCGGGAUUGAACUGUCAUUGUUCCUCGUGUCUCGGGAUAAAGUGCUUUGAAGAUGGCAUCUCGGGCACACACACACACACAAACACGCACAAGCCUGAUUUAUCGCGUUUGCUCAAGCAUAACCGGCAUGGACUCGAUUCUCGCUCCACAUCUUUCGGACAAACGCAAACGGGUUCGAAAAAAAAAACAAAAA